AUGGAGAGCAACAGCAUAGCAGCAGCAGGAGCAGGCAGGGUGCUCAUGCCACCCAAGCUGAAUGCCCUCUUAUAUAUUACUCUCUGGCUCAGAGCUUGUACCCUGUAUCAUCUAUCCAACCAGAUGAUCCAAGCUUACUCUGACGCAUCCAUGGCUUCCUCGAGCAACAAUGGCCAAACAAACCAAAUCAAGCAAAACCAGCUCAAAUCUAAUCAAACUGAACUGAAAGACGCACCGCCAUACAGAUUUCACACAACCACAUGGACCAAUCAAGCAGCACGAAGUAAGGCAGCAACACACACACACACACACACACACCCGUGCACUCCAGAGAAAGCUUCAGCUGAGCACGGUAGCACGGUAGCACCAAUAGGGUGGGCAUGCCAGUAG
rnacentral:rRNA from 1 species